GCAUAUCAAUAAGCGGAGGAAAAGAAACCAACCGGGAUUACCCUAGUAACGGCGAGUGAAGCGGUAAGAGCUCAAAUUUGAAAGCUGGCCCCUUCGGGGUCCGCAUUGUAAUUUGCAGAGGAUGCUUCGGGAGCGGUCCCCAUCUAAGUGCCCUGGAACGGGCCGUCAUAGAGGGUGAGAAUCCCGUAUGGGAUGGGGUGCCCGCGCCCGUGUGAAGCUCCUUCGACGAGUCGAGUUGUUUGGGAAUGCAGCUCUAAUUGGGUGGUAAAUUUCAUCUAAAGCUAAAUAUUGGCCGGAGACCGAUAGCGCACAAGUAGAGUGAUCGAAAGAUGAAAAGCACUUUGAAAAGAGAGUUAAAAAGCACGUGAAAUUGUUGAAAGGGAAGCGCUUGCGAUCAGACUCGCUCGCGGGGUUCAGCCGGCCUUCGGGCCGGUGUACUUCCCCGCGGGCGGGCCAGCGUCGGUUUGGGCGGCCGGUCAAAGGCCCCUGGAAUGUAACGCCUCUCGGGGCGUCUUAUAGCCAGGGGUGCCAUGCGGCCUGCCCGGACCGAGGAACGCGCUUCGGCUCGGACGCUGGCAUAAUGGUCGUAAGCGACCCGUCUUGAAACACGGACCAAGGAGUCUAACAUCUACGCGAGUGUUCGGGUGUCAAACCCGUGCGCGCAGUGAAAGCGAACGGAGGUGGGAACCCUUUGGGUGCACCAUCGACCGAUCCUGAUGUCUUCGGAUGGAUUUGAGUAAGAGCGUAGCUGUUGGGACCCGAAAGAUGGUGAACUAUGCCUGAAUAGGGCGAAGCCAGAGGAAACUCUGGUGGAGGCUCGCAGCGGUUCUGACGUGCAAAUCGAUCGUCAAAUUUGGGUAUAGGGGCGAAAGACUAAUCGAACCAUCUAGUAGCUGGUUCCUGCCG
rnacentral:rRNA from 1 species